rnacentral:lncRNA from 1 species
AUUGGUUGUUGGUAAAAUUGGUUAUUAGCGACAGCAAAAUUACCGCCGCUAAUGGCUGUCGCUAAAAAUCAUUUCUUUUGUAGUGAGUUUAUUUUAGGAGUAACGAAUGUUAGAGAAUUAUUGCAUAAGUAUUUAUUUUUUUUUUCUCAAGGAUUGCCUCCGAAAAUUGAUCAUUGUUGGUCAUUGCUAAGUCUUCAACCAACUGCAUUAUUGGAUCAAGUGGUCUAUUAUUAAAGGCUACUCUUAAGACCAAAGUAUAAUGUGAGAGUGUAAUUAGGAAUGCAAAUGAGCGAAGUUGAGAUGUUUAGUCUUGAGUUGUUAUAUAAAAGGGAUGAUGAGGAACAAAUUGAGCUCAGGCCAGGCUUAGUUGAGCAUGUUUUUUCUUUUGGUAGCAGGCUUAGUUAAGCAUGUUUAAGAUUGAAUCAUUUGCCCUAUCAGCCAAGUUGAACGAGCAUUUUAUUGAUCAUCUUUUUUGCAGGCUUUGAUGCCUAACCUUAAUUAAUUUUUAAGCUGAGCUUUUAACAAAUGUGCG